GUAUGCUGUUGUCCAGAGCCCUUUUUCUGUUGUACUACUGGCAAUUAUGAUGAGCAGUGCAAUAUUAAAAGGGCAUUGGCUGGCAGAAACAUGACC
ensembl:miRNA